UACGUAGGGGGCGAGCGUUGUCCGGAAUCAUUGGGCGUAAAGAGCGCGUAGGCGGCUUGGCAAGUCUGACGUGAAAGCCCGCGGCUCAACCGCGGAUUGUCGUUGGAAACUGCCUCGCUAGAGUCCGGAAGAGGAGAGCGGAAUUCCCAGUGUAGCGGUGAAAUGCGUAGAUAUUGGGAGGAACACCGGUGGCGAAGGCGGCCCUCUGGACCGGUACUGACGCUGAUGCGCGAAAGCGUGGGGAGCAAACGGG
rnacentral:rRNA from 1 species